rnacentral:rRNA from 1 species
AGAGUUUGAUCCUGGCUCAGGACGAACGCUGGCGGCGUGCUUAACACAUGCAAGUCACGGGGGCCUGGUUUCGGCCAGGUAACCGGCGAACGGGUGCGUAACACGUGAGCGACCUGCCUUUCCGCGGGGGAUAGCCGGCCCAACGGCCGGGUAAUACCGCAUACGCUCGGGGCGCGGCAUCGUGCCUUGUAAGAAACCUCCGGGGCGGGAAGAGGGGCUCGCGGCCUAUCAUCUAGUUGGCGGGGUGACGGCCCGCCAAGGCGACGACGGGUAGCUGGUCUGAGAGGAUGGCCACCCACAUUGGGACUGAGAGACGGCCCACACUCCUACGGGAGGCAGCAGUGGGGAAUCUUGCGCAAUGGUCUAACGACUGACGCAGCGACGCCGCGUGUGGGAGGACGCCCCUCGGGGUGUAAACCACUGUUGCGCGGGACGAACCGGACCUUUAGAGGUCCCUGACGGUACCGGGGUGAGGAAGCACCGGCUAACUCCGUGCCAGCAGCCGCGGUAAUACGGAGGGUGCGAGCGUUGUCCGGAAUCACUGGGCGUAAAGGGCGCGUACGCGGCGCGAGAAGCGUGCGGUGAA